rnacentral:tRNA from 1 species
GGCAAGGUAGCUCAGAUGGUUAGAGCACAUGAUUCAUAAUCAUGGGGUCGCCGGUUCGAUUCCGGCCCUUGCUACCA